GCGUCGGUAGUGUAACAGUUCAGCACACGCCCUGGAUAAAGUGAAAUCUGGGUUCGAAUCCCAGCUGACGCA